rnacentral:rRNA from 1 species
UCGACGUGGGCGAACCCCGGCCAUAAAGGCGAGCUGCAGUCCUCAGUCUCCUCCAGUGUAUGCAAUACUAGGCUAUAACACUUCCGAAGAAGCCACAUUCCUAAUACCUUUAUCCACCGAACAAAACUGAUGUUGACCCGUUUAAAGGAAGUACACCGAAGACCGGCUGAAUCCAAUAAACACGACUGACUUCAAUCGUUUCCCUUUUAACAAUUUCACGUACUGUUUAACUCUCUUUCCAAAGUGCUUUUCAUCUUUCCCUCACGGUACUUGUUCGCUAUCGGUCUCUCGCCAAUAUUUAGCUUUAGAUGGAAUUUACCACCCAUUUUGAGCUGCAUUCCCAAACAACUCGACUCGUAGAGAACGUAUCACAGAGCACUGAUGAUUGUGUAAAGUACGGGAUUGUCACCCUCUUUGAUACCCUGUUCCAAGGGACUUAUACACAGUUCAGCACGGAAAACGCUUCUAUAGAUUACAACUCGGACUAUCGAAGACAGCCAGAUUACAAAUUUGAGCUCUUCCCGGUUCACUCGCCGUUACUAAGGGAAUCCUUGUUAGUUUCUUUUCCUCCGCUUAUUGAUAUGCUUAAGUUCAGCGGGUAGUCCUACCUGAUUUGAGGCCAGAGUCAAAGUAAUUGU